rnacentral:rRNA from 1 species
AUUAGCCUUUGUACUGCCCUGGGUGUGUCUGAUCCCAUCUGAUCUCAAAAGCUAAGCAGAGUCUAGCCUGGUCAGUACCUGGAUGAGAGAUCCCUACAGAAACCCAU